rnacentral:rRNA from 1 species
GACGAACGCUGGCGGCGUGCUUAACACAUGCAAGUCGAACGGAAAGGCCCUGCUUUUGUGGGGUGCUCGAGUGGCGAACGGGUGAGUAACACGUGAGUAACCUGCCCUUGACUUUGGGAUAACUUCAGGAAACUGGGGCUAAUACCGGAUAGGAGCUCCUGCUGCAUGGUGGGGGUUGGAAAGUUUCGGCGGUUGGGGAUGGACUCACGGCUUAUCAGCUUGUUGGUGGGGUAGUGGCUUACCAAGGCUUUGACGGGUAGCCGGCCUGGGAGGGUGACCGGCCACAUUGGGACUGAGAUACGGCCCAGACUCCUACGGGAGGCAGCAGUGGGGAAUAUUGCACAAUGGGCGGAAGCCUGAUGCAGCAACGCCGCGUGCGGGAUGACGGCCUUCGGGUUGUAAACCGCUUUCGCCUGUGACGAAGCGUGAGUGACGGUAAUGGGUAAAGAAGCACCGGCUAACUACGUG